rnacentral:lncRNA from 1 species
CCUAUAUUUCAUUUGAUUAUAUAUAUAUUGUCCCAUACAUGAAUAAAUAUGGUUUAGGGGUGGGGAUCUCGACUGUUUCCAAGUUCUUAAAACAUGAGGGGGUGGGGUGACCCUAGGGACUUCCCCUAUAUUUCAUUUGAUUAGUUAUUUAGUCUCAUACAUGAAUGUAUAUGGUUGAGGGGUGGGAUCUCAUCCGUUUCAAAGUUAUCAAACAGGAGGAGGUAGAGUGGCCCAAUGGACUCCACCUAUAUAUCAUAUGAUUUGCUUACAUUCAGGUAUCAUAUAAUAUAGUUGCACUAUUUGUGCCUGUCCCAAGUCAGGAGCCUGUAAUUCAGUGGUUGUCGUUUGUUUUAUGUGUUACAUAUUUGUUUUUUGUUAAUUUUUUUAUAUAAAUAGGGCCGUUAGUUUUCUCGUUUGAAUUGUUUUACAUUGUCUUAUCGGGGCCUUUUAUAGCUGACUAUGCGGUAUGGGCUUUGCUCAUUGUUGAAGGGUGUACGAUGACCUAUAGUUGUUAAUGUCUGUGUCAUUUUGGUCUCUUGUGGAUAGUUGUCUCAUUGGCAAUCAUACCACAUCUUUUUUUUUAUAUAAGAAACUUCCAGCUAUUUUAACUGACCUAUCAAAAUUGAGAAGAAAAAAAUACCCCUUGAAAUUGCAGUAAUAUGUUUAACUUGAAAAGCAUCUAACAUGCAUUACCAACAUUUAUCACUGAUAAAGAAAAUUUAUACUGUUACCAGGAACAUAUAUAUUGUUAGAUAAACU